CUGUUUAAUCCAAUCCUUGAUUAAAAAGCUGACAGACAACUUUUAUUAAUAGUCCAUAACAUUCGAAACGAAAACAAGAAGUCUUGAUAAAACCCUUAAACUCCAACAAACAUAGAUAAAGGUAAGGUAGAUAGUCACACCACAAGGAAACACAAACAAGGAAAAUAAAGACAGUCAUCAAAUCAAUAGAAAAACAGAAGCACUCAUAGCACUUGAUCAUACUAAUUUGCUCAGCGAAGAUUUUCAAUCUUCCUUCCCCAGCAGAGUAAGGAGGAAGUCCUCGUAAUCCCCGGAAGUUUCUUUGGCCACAGCAUGGUCGAGAGGAACACUGUUCUUCUUGUAGUAAACCUCUUUGAUGUCUUUCAAGUCCCUCUCGGCCCUUGUCACAAUCACACGAGUGAGGGCAUCCUCAUCAGUUCCAACCCUCUUGAUUGCGUUGCGAAGAACCUUCUCAAAGUACUUCUUGGGGUCAUUGAGGCAUCGGAUGGCUACAUGCAGUGCCUUCUGGAGACCAUCAGCACCCUCUUCCAACAAACUCUGUGAUAAAAAGAAGAAAACUUAGAGGUCAAACUCGGCAGUCUUCAAUCUUAGACUCUUAGUACAUAAAAGUCUCUGUAAGUAAUUAGUUUGGGGUUGGAUGCUCUAACUUCGACAUAAGGAGGUUCAUACGUACCUUACUGAUGGAAGUGCCAUGGUCAUCUCGGUAGCGGUUAAAGGUUGCCAUGAGCUGAGUCUUGCUCCUAGUACUGAGGAUCCUAAUAACUUCAUCAUGAUUGAAAGCCUUGUCUUUGAUAGCAUCAUGAAGAAUAUCAGCUUCCGAAUUCGCCAGUUUUGCAUUGAUCUCACAACCAUCAUAACGAUACGCAGUCACUAAAGCAACCAAAAGCUGUAACAUUGACCAAAAACCAUCAAACACCAUUAACAAUUCUUCUACGAUUCGAGAAAAACACAGAUACCAAAAUAAUAGUUCACCUAAUACAAAAAAGAGGAGGCAAACAAUGGCAAAUUCUCCAACUUAUGAUGUUGUCCAUUAGUAAAGUAGACUCUCACAUAAUCCAAGUUCAUAGUUCGAUAACAUAACAUGUCAUACUAUUUGCCAAAAAAAAUCCUUUGCCGUUAAUAAUGUUUGUCGUACCUUGCGGAUAUCACCAGUGGUGUGUGCAGCCAAGUCUUCCUCCAAGGAGUGCUUGUAGCGAACUUGGUAAGCCUUCCUUACUGCAAGGAGCUCUUCAGGAGAUAGAAUGGUUGCAAUCUCGAUGAUUACAUUGUAGUUACACUCAGAUUUCUUGAUGGCCACAUGAGCCAAAACAGCAUCUCGAUCUGCAGGAUCCAAGAUCCAACGGUACACCGCUUUCUACAUUUGCCAUAUCCCCAAAUGAAAUUAGUUUUAGUAUAUGGUAUAACACAAAUUAGAGGUCGCACUUGGUGCGAUGGCAAGUGCCUUCGCCCAUGAGCGGUAGGUCUCGGGUUCGAGACUUGGGAGCAGCCUCUCCAUAAAUGGGGGUAAGGCUAGCCGACAUUCACCUCUCCCAGACCCUGCGUAAAGCGGGAGCCUUGUGCACUGGGUACGACCUUUUAUAUGGUAUAACACAAAUUGCUCAAACAAGAAAUAUAAAACUAAUAUAACUCAUGCAAAAAAUUUGAACAUAAAGUUAGUUAGGUCAAUUCCAAAGUUCGGAUUCCCAUUUUCAUAAAUUAGCGUAAUUUAAGAUAUUACAUUGUGAGAUAUAAAAUAUAGAAAAUUUGAGUUCGAAAGUAGAUACCAUGUAAGUUCAUCCAUGUAGAGAGUUUUGAGAGGCAAAAACUUUUUAUAUUCUAUAUAUUUCAUACAAAAGUGAUGAAUUGACUGAAAUGUUCAAAACUCUUGUAUUUAAGUGGUACCCUUUAAUCUCAUCAAAACAUUUCAGUCCACAACAAAAAUCUCGUAAAAAAAUAUUUACUUAAUAUUAAUAAAUAAUACUUUUACCAUAUUUUUCGUACCACAUUAAUACCGUUCUUUAAUAGAUAUAGGUGUACAUGUGUUCUAUGCCAUUGUUAUUUUAAACAAAAUAAUACUUGGAAUUAAUAAUUUAUUGAUAGCUCAUUGAUUUGUUCUCUAGAAACUUUCAAAUGUCGCUCUCAUCAUGAUGACAUUCUCGUUUCCACCCACUUCUAUAUCUUUGUAGGAAAAGGACAAAACGCUUCGGAGAUUUCUAUGUUUUGUGAUACACAAGAACGGAACUAGAUCCCCUCCGGACUCAAGAAAGCUAAGUCUGCUGAGCAAGAGAUUCGGGUUGUUGAAAUUUGAUCAAACAGCUACAAACAUGAGGCAUUUAAAAGUUAUAAAAAUUGAAAUUAUUUGAUCAAAUUUCAACAGUCCGGAUCCCUUGCUCAGCACAAUUAGUUUAUUUGAGCCCGGAGGCGAUCUGGUUCCCACAAGAACAAUCAAAACAUAACACAUUUUUUCAUGUAUUUAUUUUUAAAAAUAUUUAAAUUAUUUUUUACUCAUGAAUAUUUCAAAAAUAUAAAUAAAUAGUAAUGGUAAAUAUCGAUUAAGGGUGAAAGUAGGAGAGAAAAAACCUCAAAAUCCCCAGAGAGCUCGGACUCAAGGCGCUUGAGAAGAUCUUCCUGAUAAGAUUGCUCGUAAGCAAGCCUGAUUUGCUUUCUCUGUGCAGCGUUUCUAUGUCCCAGUAUAGAGAUUAUAGCCUUCUCAUCAGUCCCCCAUCCUACACAGUACACAAAAAUAUGAAAUAUACAUUAAUUUACCAUAUAUAUAAAUUCUCAAAAAAACAAACACAAUUAAUUAUCUGCAUGCAAAUUAAAAUAAGAAUUAAAUGGCUGAAUAAAAUGAUUAAACCUUUCACAGAUUUUCGAAGAACUUCAGCAUCGUCGACGGGUGAGAAGUUUUCAGGAGCAAUUAGGGUAGCCAUUGUUGGAGAUAAUUUUCUAGGUUCGACUCCUCUCUUACUAGUGUCUGUCUUGUGCUCUUGCUCUUACAAUGUCUAAUAUUUAUAGCAAAUCUUUCACAUUAAGAAAUCAACUAAAAUUGUGGUAUUUAGGAAUAUAUUAAUUAGCAUAUCUACUAAUUAUCCACAAAUGAGGUUGUGCUUACGUGAGUUUUGGUUGGAUUUGGUGCGGCACUAAUAGGAGGUUGCAAAAUGGCAAUCUCUAAUAAUACGACAUUCUUUAUAUAUAUACAUUUCUUUAUAUAUAUACAUGAUCUCUCCGGGAUUUAGAAGACAUUUAAUUAAUAAUUUCUUCCGUUUUGGAGUUGUUCUUUCUUUUUCGCUAAGAUUACUUUAGAUCGGAAAAUUAUUCUACCUUUAGAAUGAGCUAGGCCAAACUUCAGAGAUCAAACUUAAAAUAUAAGCGAGAGACAAGUGAUGAACUACUCGUAAGAAGAAAAAUUGAAUAAAUCGCCAACUUACCUAGGUUAACAUUCAUACGAUCAAGGACCAAACAAAAGAAGUACGGGACAUGCGUACACGUACACACACACACACGGGGGUCAGGAUCGGGCUGGAAACACAUUUGGACACUUUUGUUGGCUCUUAUUUCAUAAUUUCUUUUAAGAAUCUGAACGGUAUGAUUUUAAAUUUAUAUGACAGUGUAGAUUGGCUAAAAAAUAGUUAGAGAGAGUAGAGUACCUUUGCAUGCGUUUCUGAGGGCUUCUGCAUCGUCGUGAGGAGAGAAGUGGUCUGGAGCAAUGAGGCUUGCCAUCGUAAACUGCUAUGCUGUUUUUGCUUGGUUUUCAGUGGGAAAGUAAGGAAAGAGGCAAGUAAAAUGUGAGUGAGAGACUAGUCCAAGUGUGUGACCUUUUAUAUAUUGCUAGGUUUUCUUGUAGUAUUCACCAUUGAAGUUAAUGGCCACCUCACACAAACCAUGUUGUCGAGAUUCCCCGUACGUUACACGUGAACAGUAUACCUUUUUAAUUAUCUUAAUAGUUUCCCUUACUCCCACCAAUUACUGUAAAACAAGGGAAGAAAAGGGUAAUUUAAAUAUGAAUAGUCCUCGUAGUUUACUCGGAUUUUCAAUUUAUGUUUGUAGCUUUUUUGUUGUAUUUUAUUGGACACUGAUACAGGACUCAAAACCAUCUCUGUCUUGAUACCGUCUUGGUGGAAAUUUCCGUGAGCAUGAGGGUGUCUCGAUACAUAAGUUUAGGGGCAUAUGGUGGAAAUUUCCGUGAGCAGGGAUUCCAUUGACCAAAUGACAACUCGAUAUAGUGCCCAUGGAAUUGAUUUGGUGAUGACCCUUAGACGGAAAUGGAGGCUGUUGCAUACAGAAUGGUUCCAUAAUCUAUUUGAGUAUGUUAAAAGAAAUAUUGGAGAAUAUUCUAUUUUGGAAGGUUGUAUCUUCAAAAGUGAUGUGUGAUGAUAAUGGGACGAAAUUGCACCGUUCUUGAGUAUGGAUUUAAGUUCUGAAUACUUGCCAGUUUAGUAAGCAAGUAGCAUCUGUGCAAGUAGUAUGUUUGAGUAUGGAUAUUUGUCAAUUUAAGUAUGGAUUUAGUUCAUGUUUGUGGGACCACAGUUGAGAAGAACAUGAGGAGCAAAAGCAACCUCAAUUGUUGUAAUCUGUAGUGCGUCCAUUUGUUCAUAUUUCAGAGUUUGCUAUUUGAGACUUUGCUACAUUCUCAAACUGGGAAACCCCAGUUGAGAUUGAGGGAGAGUAUUAAGGGUACAAGUGUAAUAGCGAUAGAAAUACAGUUAGUAAGUUUGUUAGUAUUUGGUUAAAGUAGUUAGGAUUUCUCUUAUAAAAAUAGUGUGUGUAAUCUUUAUUUAGUCAGUUAAUACAAAUCCUAUUUCUCUCUCUAAACUCUCUCUCUCUCUCUCUCUCUAGAAUCUCUCUUGUUUCUCUCUAUCAUCUUCCUCUUCCUCUGUACUAAUUCUUCAUCUUUUACAAUGUAGUUAACACUUUUAAAUAAGAAGAUGUGCCCAAAAUGUGAAGGAAAAUUCAUCUUAAUUGAUAAAAUAUUAGACUUAAGCAAAUAUAUACGAUAAAAAUGCAAUAAAAAAAUAGGACGAAAGUGCAAAUCUAACUAAAUCAUGGAGACUAUUAGUACAAUUUGCAUUAAAAAUUUUGAGGAAAUUGUAGUAAUGGUCCAUUAACUUUAACUCAAUUGGAGCAACGGUCCCUCAACUAAAAAUUCAUGACCAUUGUUUCCUUAACUCAUCAAAACAUGCCGCUAUAGUUGUGCAGCCAAAAAUAAUCAAGAAGAAUAUAGAGGUGACACGUGGAUUCUAGGGUAAAAAGGAUAAAAUUACCCUCGAGGAACAUCGAAACCCCUAUGCGCGAGCAGUGGACAACCAUCCCUCAAUCAAGUAAAAAGUGCCCAAAAUAGGUAUUUAUUCAAAACCUAUUUCAUCCAUCCUCAUCAAAUAUUCUCCACAAGGUAACCCCCAAAUCUUUCCUUUCAAAUUAUAUUAAUUAGCUAAUUAAUUGAUUUAUUAAUUUAUUAAUUAGCUACAAAUCAUGAAUCUCAUCCAAAAAACCAUCUAAGUGGCCAGUCCAUCUCCUCCCAAAGCGGCCGGCCACACUCCUAUAUAAACACCCUCAUUUCUCCCAAAUUCAAUUCCAACUCUCUUGCUAAAUUCUCCAAAUUUCUCUAAACAAUUUUCCCUCAAAUUCUAACCUUAUCAUCAGAGGUUCUUCGACCAAAGCCCCAUCAUUCAUCAUGGGCGCGUGAGGCUCUUGGCCUUGACCUAAGGUGUUAAUUGUUUUGUAGGUGCAAUUUUGUCCAAUAAGAAGAAGGUAGAAAUUUGCAUCCACAAAUUGAUGCGUUCAUUGAGAGUCUUGAUCAAACGCUCGUAGAAGACUCUCGCAUUCAAGGUUUUUCGUUUUCUUGUUCAUUUGUAGAUUUUUCGUACGUUCUUAUUCUUGGAAUUUUUUCUAAAAAUUCUUUGACAAAAUGUAAAAGAAAAGUACAAUGGCAAGAGAUUCAGAAACCUCAACGAAUGGAAAUUCCAACGUUCAAGGAUUAAGACCGCAACGAUCUAUAAAGCUCAACACAAUGAUGAGGGGAGUGCCACCAUCCCUACAAGGCACCAUCAUGGUAACCACCACGACAACCACCUUCAGCAAGGCUCACGACACCACAAUCACAGCCCAAGCCGUGCCAUUGAAGCCCACACAGCCCAAGCCCAAGGCGUGAUGACCCGAGCCACUCAAGCCCGACGCGAACCCAACAAGUUGCCAAGCCGAACCUUAGUCUCACACCCAUGUACGCCACACGCCGAGCAUCCCAAUCCCGUCGCCUAGCCUGCUCUCGUGGCCUUCCAAGCAGCCCAAAUCGGCCCAAGAUUAAUUCAACCGACCCAGCUUUAAAUUACAGGGCCUACGAUUGAACCAGGGGCAUUUUCACCAUAUUUCUCUGCAUAAUUGAUAUUUUCCAACUCAAAUCUCGUGCUCGAAGUCUACCACAUACGGAGAAACCUACCAACCAAGCCCUUCCAUCCCGUAUGGCGAACAACACUUGUCCCGACAAGUCAUAGAGUUGACAAAUGCCCUCGCGCCGCAAACGACCUUAGUGAAUCAACUUUUGCAACAUGCCUCAGAAGAUGUGUCUCGAAGAAGGACAAUGGCAUACGACGAACCUCUCCAGCAGCGUUUUGGUAAGCAACCACUCGACCAACCACUAACCGAGCGUUCAAGUAAUGUACAUUCCUGAUUGGACCCCCAAGAUAGCUUAUACUCUCGUCUUAGCACGCGGAGAAGCAUGUAUUCUAGACUAAGCUCGUAGAUAAGUAUACACUCACAGUUGGGACUACCCUCUGGUAAUCAACAUGAACGACCUUCCAAGCGAAGUGUUCAUUCACGACAAUGUCAGCAAGGAACAUCAUUCAACUCACAUUGGAGUAGGCAACACAGCAAAUAGAGAGAAGCAAUCACUCAAUCCAGCUCAAGUUCAAUCAGCAACCUACUAUGAACAUACCACAUGAACCGCAGCCACGACAUAGACGAGUCGAGCAUAGGGAAGAGUGGACUAGACUAAUAGGUCACAACCAAGGGCUGUCGAAAGUUCCAUUGCCCCAGCAGAGGCAAAUUCAAGAAGAAGUUGACAGGCUCCUAACUGAACGAUUGCUCAAUUUUUAGCGCAACGAGGCUGCUGACGAUGUGCUUCGACAAGACAUGACCAAUAUAAGCAUGUUAUCAUUCGUGAUGAGAUCGAGUGGACAGAUCCACCUCACGGGUUCACUAUGCCUCAUUUCAUUCCGUACAAAGGAGACGAAGAUCCGGAUCGACAUCCUAAGCGCUACCACAGUACCAUGAUCCUCUUCAGGAAUGACGACGCGCUUAUGUGCAAAAUUUUUGCCACAACUCUACAAAACGAGGCACAAGACUGGUUUCACACCCUACCGCUGUAGUCGAUCUAGAGUUUCAACGAACUUUCCUUAGUUUUCACUAAGGAGUAUUCGUCUAACUACUCAAUCAAAAUGAUAUCCGACCAUCUCUUCAGCAUUAUAAAAAACCUUUAGAAGACAAUUCGCAGCUAUGUCAAGAGGUUCAAAGUGGAAAAUGCCAAGAUUGUUGGCUACAAUGAGGACAUAGCAAUAGCAGCAUUCAGAAAUGGGUUUCCCACCAAACAUUCUUUAUUCAAAAAGCUGAUCAUAUGAGAAUAACUGACUCUAGCAACUUAGUAUGCUUUGGCGGAAAAGCACGCACUAUAGGACGAGGCCAAAUAGUCUAACAAAAACGAGUCAAAAAAGAAGCGCUUGAAACGUUCCCUGACCAGAGAAGACUCAAUUCCUGAAACAUUCAACAAGUUCACAGUUCCAAUCGGCCAAAUUCUCCGCAAGCUCAAGAACGAACCUUGGUUCGAACAGCCGCCACCCAUGAAAGACGAUCUUACCAGGCUGGAUCACAUAAAGCAUUAUGCAUUCCAUCAAAGACCUGGCCACACUACCAACAGCCGCUUAAAGUAGAAGCAGUACCUUGAGAAGCUGACAAAUGAUGGCUGGUGUGAUGAAUAUCUUAAUAGGUCAACGACACAACCUGCAUAAGCAGGGGAAGUCUCAAAUAGCUCUAUGAAUAAGACUUUGCAAGCCGAGGAUUAUCCAGUUUGUUAUACAGUCUCUACCUUCCAGCACAGUUAAUUCAUUUCUUUAUUCUCAAUGAAGAUUCAAGAAGUUAUUCAUAAGUCUGACUCAACUGCUGUCUACAACAACUGCUAUCUACAACAGCUGCUCAAACCCUUAUCUGGGUCUGUUCUCCAGUGUGAAAGGAUAAACUAAUUGUUAUCCAAUGCGAGAGGGUAAACCAAUUCCAUGACACCCAUAUAGGUUUAUUCUCCUAUGUGAGAGGAUAAACUAAUUGCGCUCCAGUGCGAGAGGGUAAACCAAUUCUCGGACACCCAAAAGGGUCUACUCUCUAAAAUGAGAGAAUAAACUAAUUGCUCUCAAGUGCGAGAGGUUAAACCAAUUCCCUAACAUCCAUAUGGGUUUGCUCUCCAGUGUGAGAGGAUAAACUAAUUGCUCUCCAGAACGAGAGGAUAAACCAAUUCCCCGACACCCAAAAAGGUAUGUUCUCCAGUGCGAGAGGAUAAACUAAUUACUCUCUAGUGCUAGAGGGUAAACUAAUAGCUCUCCAGUGUGUAAGGGUAAACUAAUUGCUCUCCAGUGCGAGAAGGUAAACUAAUUCCCCGACACCUAUCUGGGUAAGCUCUCCAGUGCGAGAAGGCCACAUAGCUCAAAAGAUCGAAUGCUUGAAGACUAACUAGGCAGGAAAUAGUCAGGGGGCAGCAACCAAUUUGCACUCAAUAGUUCGCUCAUCCGACAUUUCAUCUUCAGCAACUCCGAUCUUGGUAGCUCCAUCCUUGACUGCUCCAUUUACGGCAGUUGAGAAAUCAAAACUCAAGCAAUUCCCUCAUUUUUGGCAAGCAGCCCAAACCAUGGCCCAUGCCACGACACUUCUUAGGCCCAUGCCGAGCCAAUCCUUGGCUUCAGUCAAGUCGAGCAGCACAAGCAAUGGUCCCUGCCAUACCACUUCUUUGGCCCAUUCCAAGCUAACUCUUGGCCUCUGCUAGCUGACGUGCCACACCAUCCCGACGACUACCCCGUGGCAGCACCACCCAAGAAGAAGACAAUGAGAAUUAAGUUUUUCUUACAUCGAUGGGCGCGGAGAAGACAAAGAAAUCAAUGGAAGACAAUUUGUUGCACGAGCAAGCAAAGAAGAAUGUUAGGGAAGGGGGAACAAAUAUCCUCCAAUUUUCUCUCUUUCUUGUAGGGAUAAAUAAUUGCCCUCCGAAGUUGAUUUAAUCCCUUACUUAAGGUAGGCUUAAAUAGGCUUUGGAGGUGAUUUAUUUCCCUUUCCUAGAAGAAUUUAAUUCCAAGUGAGAAUAUGCAUCAAAGCUGGAGAUCUCUACACUUACUGCUAAGGAUAGGCAACGGUUAUGGCGAACGGGUAACCACGGUUAUUUAUUCAUAACCGUUUAUUCUCAUACCCGCAUAACCGUUUACCCAUUUGGUAAUUGUCUAAAUGGUUAUACCCAUACCCAUAACCGUUUAUAAACGGUUAACCAUACUCAUAACCGUAACCAUUUAGUACCCGUUUACUUAUUUAUCAUUUUUAAACCCAUUUAUCCUUUCUUUUUUACCAUUUACUCCUUUUUCACCCGUCUACGUGAUUUUUUAACAACUUGAAAAUUAAAAAAGAAAAAUUUGUCAUAAUUUUGUUUUUCUAACAAUUAAACACCGUUAUAAGCACAUUCAUCAUACAUUUCCGCAUUUUAAUUUUUUAAGUCCGUAUACCAUUCCAAUAAUUGAAAUAAUAGUUUAUAGACGAUAUUUUUAACUGUUAGCAAUGAAGGUAAUAUAAAAUUUGCUAAGUAUUCUUGGGUUACGAAAACUGUUAAAAGACAGUAUUCUUGGGUUAUUUGACUCGGAAUGUAAAAUAUUAACAUAAUAUAUAUAAUGGACCAUGAAAUAUUAAAGUGGUUAAGGAAAACUAUAUUAUAUUAGCUAUAGAAAUCAUGCACUAUAGUCAAUAGCAUUGAUCUAAGUUUUGUCCGAUAGGGAACAUGGUUUGUGUUAAUUUUACAUAUAUAAAAUAAAUGGGUAAAUGGUUACCCGUUUAUAACCGUGGUUAAUACCCAUAACCGCCCAUUUAAAUUUCACGGGUAAACAGUUAUACCCAUAACCGUUUAUUUAUCUAAACGGUUACCCAUAACUGUAACCGUGAAAUUUAAAUGGACGGAUAAACGCGGUUACCCAUAAUCGAUGGGUAUUUGCCCAUCCCUACUUACUGCCCUUUCCUGCAAGCAACCCAACAGGUGUAAGGGCAUUUGUGGAGCCAAAAUAAUCAAGAAGAAUAUAGAGGUGACACAUAGAUUCUAGGGUAAAAAUGACAAAGUUACCCUCAAGGAACACCGGAACUCUUACGCACGAGCAGUGUUUCAAAAUUGUGUAUUGUGUUUUGUGUUCACACAUGCUACUUCUUUUCUCAACUAAUUAUUAUAAAUCUCUGCGUUUUGUGUUCACACCUGCUACUCUCUUUUUUUAAUAGUGUCUUGAAGAGUAAUGUUAGGUAAACCAAUUUUUAAACUAAAAUAACAAAUCAUAUGAAUGUCACCAAUAUGAAAUAAACGCUAAUCAACAAUUAGUAAUAAUCGAAUAAUCAACAACCACAUUGUUGAUAACAAAUUUCACACUGAUGAGAGGACAAAUUUAUGCUUGGCCUACUAAUUUGCUACGUGAAGUUCAAGGGUGGAUUAGAAAUUUCUUAAACGAGGUAUGCCUCUAAUAGCUUGGAGUUCUUGUUGUAAGUUGAAAGAAGAGGGUGGUUUGGGUAUCCGAGAUCUUUUUAAAUCCAACCGUUCUCUCUUUCUUAAAAAAUGUUGGGAUGUAUUUUCUUCUUCCUCACCGGCUUCGGAUUGGUUACGUAAUAGAUUUCUUAAAGACAACUUUCAUUUGCUAAAGUCUUAUAAAAAGUCUUCCGUUUGUUUGGGGCUUAAACAAUUAUGGCCCUCCUUCUAUAGUUCCCUUCAAUGGAAUGUUGGUGAUGGCCGUAAGAUUUCUUUUUUGUAUGAUAACUGGCUUGGAACCACUUUGCUCUCUAAUAUUGGUGAGGUUGACAUAAUUCCCUUGAAUUCGAAGGUAAAAGAUUUUAUUCUGGAUUCAAAAUGGUCUCUUCCCAUUGUCUUUACUUCUUCUUUUCCUCAUCUUUCGGAGAAGAUUAUGAAGACUCCAUUGCCAAUUGCACACAUGGAUGAUGCGUUAUUUGGACAGGUUCAUCUUUGGGUACUGUUUCAGCUAAGGAGGCUUUUCUUUUUUUUCUCAUCUCAUGCUCCACAUAAAAAAUGGGCUAAAAUGGUUUGGCAUCAAUCUAUUCAGCCACGCAAAAGCUUAGUAGUUUGGAAAGCUUGUCAUGGAAGAUUAUUGACUGAUGAUUUAUUGCAACGCCGAGGUGUGGCUUUAGCUUCUUAUUGUGCUUUUUGUCAUAAUGCUAGGGAAUCUUGUGACCAUCUUCUUCUGCAUUGUCCUCAAAUAGUUGCUUUAUGGAAAUAGAUUUUCAUUCUUUUUGGCAAGCCUUAUGAUCCUUGGCAAUGCAUUGAAGAUAUUUUUUAUGGUUCUUUGGUCUCAUCUUUCCCCACAUCUGUUCGAAAACUUUGGUUAUUGGUUAUUUGCAGUUUCUUUUGGUGGCUUUGGCACGAAAGGAACAAGAUCAGGUUUGAGAACAAAAGUUUCAGUAUUGUCGAGUCCCAACGUUGUCUUUUACGGCAUUGGAAGGAAUCAGCUUCUACUUGUUUUUCUUUCACUGGUUGUGUAUCGAUUCCCAUAUUCUCCAUGUUAAGAAUUUCAUCCCUUUCUUUAGAUGCUCUUAGUUUCGUGCCUGUGUUUUGGCGUCCACCUCCUAUUGGGUGGAUUAAGAUUAACACAGACGGGUCUUGUAAAAGGAAUGGUCAAGUGGGUAGUGGUGGUGUUUUUCGUGACUCCAGUGGUCUUUUUUUAGGACAGUUUGCCUCCUCGUCUUCUUAUCCAAGUGCAGUUGUUGCAGAGAUUGUGGCUGUCAUCGAGGCAAUUCAGAUUCCAUGGGAUAAAGAAUGGCAUAACAUUUGGUUAAAGACAGAUUCUAUGCAUGUCAUCAGCCUACUAUCAGCUCACUCCAUAGAUGUUCCAUGGUUUCUUAAAGUUUCUUGGGCAAAUUGUUUAUGGCAUAUUGCUCGCUUGCAUUUGCGUUUUUCGCAUAUUUUCAGGGAAGGGAAUUGUUUGGCGGAUGCUUUUGCUAAUUUUGGUGCAAUGAAUAGUAGCUUUACGUGGUGGGACUUGGUACCCGAUUUUGUUGAUGCGUCUUAUAGAAGAGAUUGUGUUGGGCUUCCAUUCUUCCGUUCGAGCUCAUGAGGAGCAAAUUGUUGCUAUGGAAGAGGAUUUUGGGAAAGAAAUAUAAACAACUGAAUUAUGGGAAUUCAAUUUAGGUGACUGAAGCUAAGCACCCUUAAACUAGUCCAUAUCAUUUUCAUUAAUUGUUUUUAGCGGGUUUUGGCCUAGUCCCCCCGUUUGUUCUACUUUUCCUUUUUUCUUCUUAUUAUUAAUAAAAUCUUGUAGAGGGGGGACGGGCGGGGGGUUUCUGGGUGCAACAGUCCUUUCUCAUUUGGAAGAGGGUUGGUGCCUCGCACGCGACUGUUGACGAAGAGCUAAUCUCGCCUAAUCCGUCUCUAAAAAAAUUUAUAUAAAAAAAAAAAAGUAGUUAGGCUGCUCCUAUAUUGCCAAUUAGUGCUAUGAUGGAACCCCAACUUUCUUUAUGGUAUUAGAGUAUAUGUUGUCUCAUGUAUGAAGUCUACAGACCAUACGUGCUUCACGUCACCCAACUUGUGUUUUCCACGUUUUAAGCUUGAAAUAAGGGACAUUGCAUGUGCCUAUAAGUAAUUUGGACAACUCACAUUUUAUGGUGGAACCCAACUUUCUUCACGUAUCAUAUGGUUUAAAAAAUUUGGUUUAAUAAUUUGUUAUACAAAGACAUAUACAUUAUAAUUAGUAACAUCUAAAAUGAGUAUCUCAAAUUUUGUCUGAAGCAUGUGUGCGUGUACCUUUUAGGUAAAUGUUUUACUCGAAUAAGACUGCAUUUUAAGUUUUUAUUAUCUAGAGUCUAAAAAGAGUGUCACCAUUUCAUCGAUUGUGGCAUAUGCAUAAACGUGAUCGUAUAUAACUGGCUUGGCUGUCAAUUAUAUAAAUUGCAGAUUAAGCUUGUGAGCGUGACUAAAUGACCAAGUUUAGGAGUCCUAUAUAUUAAGGUUAGUUGUGUACCAUUUGGGAUCAGUUUUCGCUCCUAGUUGAAUUCCUGUAUAAUCCUAAUUCUUAUAUUAUAUGAACAAGGCAUCUGGAGGGUUUUAUGUGUGCGAGUAAGAUCAAAUUGUUAAGAGAUCACAAGACACAAGGGGAGACACUUUCGAAGGAAUGUGAGGGGUAAAAGAAAUUAAGACCUAGGGUUGGUGAACCAAAGGGGUUUUCAUACUAUUGAACUAUCUCGGGAAUCAUCGGAGUGGACGUUAACAAUUUUUGGCUGAACCAUUAUAAUUUUGUGUUCUUGUGCGUGCGUUUUCUUUGUGCUUGGUGUUUUUGUAUUUCUUUGCGGUUUGAUUAUUGUGUGUUUUAUCAGACUUCGUCGAAAUCAAGAUUCAUAUUGAGAAUCGGAAGAGACUUCGCUGCUGCUGAACAUUUUAGCAAGAGGUGCUGCUUACACCCAAUCCCGGGUGGAAACGUUAAUCAAAACUUGGACACGUGUCCACUCGGGAUUGGGUGUAAGCACCACCUCCUGCUGAAAUGUUAGCAGCCAAGCUGUGUUCUUGAGAAUUUAAGAUGUACAGUAAACUAGUAUUAGAGCUGACAGGUUAGGCGUUGGUAUUUGUUCAAGUGCGACAAGGCAGCAUGAUUGCGAAUGAAGAGUCAUGCAUAACCAUGGGGAGCGUUGAAGGCAACUUAAAGCCCUUUACCAAAAAAGGAGUAUUUUCACGCUAUGAUAGAAAUGAAUGAUAGAUCAUCUAGUACUACGGUCUGCUGAUAUUCUUCUUUACUUAAAAAUGAGAGGUCUUAGGUUUGAAUGAAGAGUCAUGCAUAACCAUGGGGAGCGUUGAAGGCAGCUUAAAGCCCUUUACCUUUGGUGAGCAUAGAGAUCCAAAUGGCUAGAAUGGUUUGAUAGCUUAAGAUUGAUUCAAUGGUUUGAUAACAUAGAGAUCCAAUGGCUAACAUGCUUGCACAACUUGAUAAAGCUAGAAAAAAAUAAAUGCUAAUAUGAACACACACUAGAUCUUCCGAGGAGCUAUUAGGAGCUAGGAAGGCCUACCAUUCCCUCUUUGAUCACUCCAUUGAGAAGAUGUUGCCUACCGCGUUGAUAGCCCUGAAGGCAAGGUAAAUUUCAUCUUCCAUACUCAGUACUUGCAUAGUUGUCUCUUAGUUUUCUUUCGUUUGUGGGAUAAUUAAUAGUGCCUGUUUGAUAAUUGUGAUCUGAGAUAGAUCGAAGUGAGAAUUGAGAAAUAUGGGCCUUGUACUUCGUUGGUUUUUUUUUUCAAUUUUAUUGCACCACUAUUGCACAAAGAUAAGGUUUCAAAAAAGGGAUGGUACUAGUAUUGCUAUUAAAUGUGCAGUAUGGUAAUUUAAUAACUAGGACAUUGAAAUACAUAGGUUCCAUUCGGUUGAACGAACGUGAAAGAAAAGAUUUGGUUUUGAUAAGAAAUCUAACUUUGCUAAAAAAUUAGAAGGCAUUAGGUUAAAUGUAUUUCAAAUAACUAGAUAAUAUGCAGUUGAAAAGGGCUAAAACUAACUAUACGUAUUGAGUCAUUUGAAAUUCAUUUAUUUUCUUCAUUUUCUAAUUGGGAUCUUGAACAUAUUAAUUGUAAUAUGUGUGUGUAUGAAAUGAAUAUGUGUGUGUAUGAAAUGAAUAUGUGAAGUCAUUUAACUGGUGUUUCGUUUUCAUUUUGUCCAGCUCUUGGUUGCUCUUGUGAGUUCCUUUAGGUAUGAAGGAUCAAAGGUUAAGGAUGACACUGCAAAAUUUGAGGCCAAAACACUUGUUAAUGCCAUUAAGGAUGUCAAUAAGAGGCACCACAAUGAAGAUUGUUUGUACCAUACUUGACCAAUCCCGAAACUACUGAGCACCGGUCAACGUUAUACCGUCAAGGGCCCAGAAAAGUUUCCCUUCAACCAGGAGGUCAAUCACAGCGCAACACGUGUCGACAUCAGAAGCCAAUCAUAGCGCGACACAUGUCAACAUCAGAAGUCAAUCACAACACGACACGUGCCAAUGUCAGAAUGAAACUAGAAACUCUCUUCUAUAAAUAGAGAUCAUUCUCUCACAAUAUUUCCUAAUGUCAUUUGUACUAAAUCAUUCACUAGUACUCACUAAAGGAGAGCUUAAACCUAUGUACUUGUGUAAACCCUUCACAAUUAAUGAAAACUCCUCUACUCUGUGGACGUAGCCAAUCUGGGUGAACCACGUACAUCUUGUGUUUGCUUUCCUAUCUCUAUCCAUUUACAUACUUAUCCACACUAGUGACCGGAACAAUCUAGCGAAGGUCACAAACUUGAUACUUUCUGUUGUACCAAAGUCCUCACUGAUUUUGUGCAUCAACAUUUGGCGCCGUCUGUGGGAACAACACUUAUUCCCACUCUCUUCAGCUUUGCCAAGCUGGUUUCCACCAUUUGUACACUCUCUUUUGACCAUGCAUCCCUCUCCAACAUGGGGAGCGAAGGAAGCCACAACACAUAGAAUGACACCCUUCUUGCACCUAGUGCGAAGCAACGAAAGAUGGAAUGAAAAAUGGUUGCUCUUUAAGCUAAAGUCGAUGAGCUAGAAGCUCAAAACAACAAGAUAGCAAUGAAGAAUGAGGUGCUCCAAGAGCAGUAUGAUAAGCUCUUUGAGACGUUCCACGAAACUAGGCGUACUCAAACACGGGAGCUCGUUGCCCCUGUGGACAUCAACCAUCAUCUAGGUACCCCCCAACACGGAGGGUCACCUCUCUUCGACAUGAGUAUCCCUAAUGAGGAGCAAGCUAAUCAUCAAAACAUUGAUCAACAUGAGACUUCUCUCAACCCAGAUGCUUCAACCUGAAGCAGGAGAAAUUGAGGAAGACACCUCCUUGCAGAAAGGUUGGAAGGAUCGAAAGCUGUUUAUCCUGACUGCCGAGAUUUCUUAAAGUAACAUCGAGAGAAUCCCCUCCACAUAUGCUCGAAGAUCAAUGACCUAAGGGUUUCUAAAAGACUCGGUCCCUUCCCACGACCCAGGCCAGUUGCCAAUCUAGGGAAGGAACAACCGGUCCUAGAGGAACAUGAAGGUACAGGGGACUUUGCGGUAUUCCGACAGACUCACCCUAGAAGUCAGUACGGCGAGUCCAAGAAAAAACCACACGCCCUUGCUCAAACUUUCCUACUUUCAAGAGGCGAUGAAGACUUACGAAAGAAAAUUCUAGUGGUACAUGACUCUACUCAGGACCCCCUUGUCCUACGGCUCCUUGAAGAAGUAAACAAGUUGAAGGCCAAACGUCAAGCUGAGAUACCUAACUGGAACCAACCCAGGCCUGGCCUUUUCACAAGGAGGAUCCUCGACACCCCCCUUCAAGCGAAGACAAAACAAAAGCUUGGUUUACAACUCUAUACUGGAAGGAAAGACCCAAUUGAACACCUUAACCUCUUUGAGUCCACCAUGGCAUAUCGGAUGAACACCGACGAAGAGCGAUGUCUUCUCUUCCCCUUCACCCUCUCUGGCGGAGCUCUAAACUGGUAUUGUCAUCUUUCACCUGAGACAGUAGACUCAUUUGAGGAACUGAGGAAACUGUUUGUCUCUCAACACAUCUUCCAGACUGAUCGCUUGCAUUAUACAGAUGACCUGUACACUAUUCGCCAGAAGCCGGACGAGUCACUACGAGAGUAUGCCGGUCGCUUCAGUCAUGAGUAUUCUCGCUGCGCUGAGGCAAAUGACAAAACCGCCCUCAAGGCAUUCACAGCAUGCCAACGUGAUUGUUUCUUCAAGUACAUGAUCAAUGCCAACACUUGGAAGACUUACUCUAAGGUGAUGGCACAGGUUUACAACCACAUCUCCGCCGAAGCAAUGACAUAACAAGGGAACCCCCAUAUGGUUAAUCCUUAUCAACAAGUGGGAAGUGGAAGUCAAGUUCUACCAAGUGAGGAGAUCUUGGCCAUUCAAACACCCAUUGUAUCAUUUCCUGCCUCAUUUAGCUACUCGCUAAGUCACCAUACGUAUCUGUCUCUUGGUAAGAGGAAUGAUUUUUACUCUCAGCAAGCCCAUUACAACAAGAGGGAUAAAAGUUCGUAUCAAGACAAUUAGGGGUGAACGUACCAUUGACUAUUAUGACUAUGGGGCCAAGCCUCACUCUUUCAAAGUGGAGGACUAGGUACUGAAGGAAAUGCUAUUAUAAGAAGACAUACAUAUUACAAAUGUUUUGACUCUCAACCGCUUGAGAUCUUUUGUCACACAAGCCAUUCGGCAAAUAUUUAAAGAAGAGGGAAUUCAAACAACUUCUUCUGAGUCUUUUGCGUUCCUAGCAUUAGAACACUUGCUUUACGCUGACCUACCAUUAUACUCCAACUCAGAGCUUCAACAUGCGUACUUUGACACAAAGUAUAUGAUACUAAGUGUUACAACCAACAUGGUUCACAUAUCAAAAGCAUGGAUCCCUUCAUGCAUAGCAAAACAUUCAUAAGCAUCACUCAUAUCAAUCAACAUAAACAUCAUACAUUCCAACACAUUCAUACAUAAACAUCAUACAUUCCAACACAUUCAUACAUAAACAUCAUACAUUCCAACACAUCCAUACAUAAGCCAACCGUGCUUCAAAAGGGUUCAACAUACUUUAUGUCUUCGACACUUGCUACAAUAUGCCUCAACACCUUGCCCUUAUUCUCACCAACCAGGUGAUGAAAUGUGAAGAAGGAACUCAUCUUCAUGCCACCAACCAGGUGAUGAAAUGUACAACCCGUACUCUCCUUCAUACCACCAACCAGGUGAUGAAAUGUAUAACCCAUACUCUAAUAUCAUUUGGCAACUUACCACCCAUGCCACCAACCAGGUGAUGAAAUGUGAAGAAGGAACUCAUCUUCAUGUCACCAACCAGGUGAUGAAAUGUACAACCCGUACUCUAAUAUCAUUUGGCAACUUGCCACUCAUGCCACCAGCCAGGUGAAAAAGGAACUCAUCUUCAUGCCACCAACUAGGUGAUAAAAUGUACAACCCGUACUCUCCUUCAUGCCACCAACCAGGUGAUGAAAUGUACAACCCGUACUCUAAUAUCAUUUGGCAACUUGCCACUCAUGCCACCAACCAGGUGAAGAAGGAACUCAUCUUCGUGCCACUAACCAGUUGAUGAAAGCAACUCACCAUUAUUCCACCAACCAGAAGACGAGUGGUACAACUUGUACAUGUGAACUCCUAGCAUUCACAAAUAAUCAAAAACCCUCAUGUUUUACAACUCAACUAGGGGAGCACUUAUGCCCAACAAGAGUUAUAGUCACCAACAAAAUCUUAUUGCAAGCCAACAACAGCUUUAGUGCAUGGCAUACGAAGAUCAAGCUAUUCAGCCCUCUUGCAUUUGCUUCAUACAUUUCUCCUUUGUAACAAUGCAAACACUACAAGGUGUGGCUUGCAUCACAAUCUCUUGCUCAACAGUGUGGAAGCAAAAUUUGUAUAUGUUGUCAUCAAAGGAGUUCAACCACAAUUCUCAAAAGCUUCACACACUCUUGAUCAAGACAGUGUGAAGGAAAACCAAUCUAUGGUGCCAAUAAGAGCUUCAUCAAUGGAGGGUAACCACAAUUCUUAAAAGCUUCACACACUCUUGAUCAAGACAGUGUGAAGCAAAACCAAUUUAUGGUGCCAACAAGAGCUUCAUCAAAAGAGUUCAACCACAAUUCUCAAAAGCUUCACACACUCUUAAUUAAGACAGUGUGAAGCAAAACCAAUUUAUGGUGCCAACAAAAGCUUCAUCAAUUAAGGGCAACUACAACUCGUAGAAAGCUUCACACACUCUUGAUCAAGACUGUUCCAAGCAAAUUCAAUUUAUAUGGUUCAUCCAAACCUUUGACUACUAUAAGGUAUAGCUUGUAUCACAAUCUCUUACUCAACAGUAUGGAAGCAAAAUUUGUAUUUGUUGUCUCUCCCACAUUUUCAAAUUUCUAAUUUUCCUAAAAAAAAUAAAAUAAAAUAAAAUAAAAUAGGGAAAUUCAAUAAAGCUUCAUCAAUGAAGGACAACUACAAAAUUUCAAAAGCUUCACACUAUCUUGAUCAAGAUAGUGUGAAGCAAAAUCAAUUCAUGGUACCCAACAAAAGCUUCAACUCCAAAGCUUCACCUACAAAGCUUCAACUCCAAAGCUUCACCUACAAAAGCUUCAACACAAAAGCUUCACCCACAAAAGCUUCACCUACAAAAGUUUCACCCACAAAGCUUCACCCAUAAAAGCUUCACCUACAAAAGCUUGACCCACAAAAGUUUAACCCACAAAAGCUUCACCCACAAAAGCUUCACCCACAAAAGCUUCACCUACAAAAGCUUGACCCACAAAAGUUUGACCCACAAAAGCUUCACCCACAAAAGCUUCACCCACAAAAGCUUCACCUACAAAAGCUUCACCCACAAAAGCUUCACCCACAAAAGUUUCACCCAUAAAAGCUUAACCCACAAAAGCUUCGCCCACAAAAGCUUAACUCACAAAAGCUUCGCCCACAAAAGCUUGACCCUUCACCUACAAAAAUUUCACCCACAAAAGUUUCACCUACAAAAACUUCACCCACAAAAGCUUCACCCACAAAAGCUUCACCUACAAAGCUUCAACACAAAAGCUUCACCUACAAAAGCUUCACACACUCUUGAUCAAGAUAGUGUGAAGCAAAAUCAAUUCAUAGUACCCAACAAAGCUUCAACCUCAAACUUCACCUACAAAGCUUCAACAUCAAAGCUUCACCUACAAAGCAUAAAAAAUAUAUAUAUAUUCGGAAAAUUCAAAAAUUCAAAAAUUCAAAAACAAAUUCGAAAAAAAAAAUAUUUAAAAAUUGUCUAGGCCUGCUCUUCUUUGGGCCUAACAACUUUCAUAACAAAUAUAUAUGAAGGAGGAGUUUUGGGCUACCACUUAGAAAGGAAAUGCCUCAUUCGUCAACUCCCUCGACCGGAGACUUGGGGGACUCCUACCAUGUGCUACUGCACCUUGAUACUUAGAAGUCUCACGACCACUCAGUGACUUGGAUUUUUCAAGUCUCCAACCGAGAAGUUUUCCUCACUUGGGAAAUUAAGGGAGCACUACCUCAACAUACAUGCUUCACUCUCAAAGCUUCAACAUACAAGCUUCAACAAAAGAAAAAAUUCAAAGAACUUAGUGAAGUAGGUCUUGGUGUAUUUAACACAAUACGUUGAAAUGAAGCAAAGCUUGUUUAUUGAUAUCUCCGAUAAGUUACAAAUAUGUACAUAUACAUAAAUCAAAAUAAACAAACAAGAGGGACCCUUCACAAAGGUUGCUCUUGAGAAGUCUCAGCAGUCGGCAAAGCCCCAGAAAGAGUAGGCACCAAAGGGUGAUUAUUCGGAGCCUCAGUACUAGGCAGAACCCCAGAAGGAGGAGGCACCGAAGGUUGAUCAUUUAGAGUUUCAUUACACGGUACAGCCCUAGAAGACGAAAGCAAUAAAUGCCUUUGGAACAAACCCACAAACCUCUGAUGAUCAAGUAAAAUCUGACCAUCAGAUUCCUGCAACUGGUCGAGCUUCCUCUUCAUGUUUGUAGCAUAGUCAUGUGCGAGCCUGUGCAACUGUUUAUUCUCAUGCUUGAGCUUUCUGAUCUCCUGUUUGAUACUUAUCACUUUAGCUGCCAAUGAUUCAACUUGGCGGGUUUGAGCAAAUAAGCAUUGGGCCAUAUUAGACACAGAACCUGCACACUGAACACUGAGAGCCAGAGAAUCCUUAACAGCCAACUCAUCAAACCGUUUAGAAAGUAAUCUGUUAUCUUUGGGAGUGAGAAGGUUCAUGGCCACCACCGCAACGGUCAUAUCAUUCUUCAUCACAGAGUCCCAAACGGUAAGAGGACCAAUAGGGGAUAAGAAUGAUGGGCGCCAUAUGUUAUCUUGAGAAGGCAUGGCUGCCUCUUCACCAAAGUUCAAGUCAAAACGACGGUCGGAUGGGCCAGACAUUCUCAAAAAUGAUGAAGGAGAAAUGAGGUGCAGUAAAUCUCUUAAGUAAUGGGAAAAUUCCUACAAGCAAUAACUCUCUGAAUGUACUUCUUGCACACAAUUGGUGCCCUUAUAAAAGAAAGGGCAACAGGGCCGUUGGUUCAAAAAUUGAAGAGGCACCACUCUCCGGAUUCCGAAGAGACACCACUUUCCACACGCAACAUCAACUUCUCGGGUACCACAGAUAACUUUGCCAAAGAUCUCUGACAAAGUUUAGACACAUAAAUUUUGAAGGUCCAGCUACCCUACUAUUACCCAUAAGGGUAAAUUAACAACACCACUGCUUGAUAACUAGAAAGUCCCAAUGUGUGUCAAUCUUCGUGCUCCGUGGCAAGGCAGACUGGCAAAAAUGCCCAACCUUUACUCACAUUCGAGAAAACACUCCCAAUAAGAUUGCUUGCUCAAAAAUCGAAGAGGCACCGCUCUCCGAAUCUCUAAAGCCAGACUCCCAACAGGAUUACAUGCUCAAAAAUCGAAGAGGCACCGCCCUCCGAAUCUCGAGAGCUAGAUUCUCAACAGGAUUACUUUCUAAAAAAUCGAAGAGACACUGCUUUCCAAAUCUCAAGAGUCAGACUCCCAACAAGAUUGCUUUCUCAAAAAUCGAAGAGGCACCGCUCUCCAAAUCUCGAGAGCCAGACUCCCAACAGAAUUACGUGCUCAAAAAUCGAAGAGACACCGCCCUCCGAAUCUCGAGAGACAAACCUCCAAUAGGAUUACUUUCUCAAAAAUCGAAGAGACACUGCUCUCUGAAUCUCAAGAGUCAGACUCUCAAUAGGAUUGCUUUCUCAAAAAUCGAAGAGGCACCGUUCACUGAAUCUCGAGAGCCAGAUCCCCGACAGGAUUGCUUGUUCGAAAACCGAAGAGGCACUGCUCUUCGAACUUCGAGAGCCAGAUUUUCUUGGAUAAAGCUUGUCUGCAAUCUUCACACGCAACAUCAACUUUCUAGAUACCACAUACCACUUUUUCAAAGUGCUCUAACAAAGUUAAAACACGUGAAGCUUACAGCUCCCACUACAUUGUUAUGACCAAGAAGGGUAAAGGAAUAGCACUACUACUUGUUGUUAGGGAGACUCUUAUAUAUGUCGACCUUCAUCCUCCACAACCAGGCAUACCUGCAAAUAAAAAAAAUGCUCAACUUUUCUUCACAUCCGAAAGGGUACUCUCAGCAGAGUCUCUCGAAAUACUUAGCUUCUUUUCCUCCCGAUAAUACCUCUACAAACAAGCCACACCAGAGCAAGAGUAUCUCAUAUCAUCAGGGUUAAAAGCAAGAGUAUCCCAUAUCAUGUUUUUUCCCUGUCUUUUCCUUUGGCCUUGUUCUUACCUGCAAGACAAGGAGAAAGAGAGCAAUCAGUCAGCACUUGGAAUCAAGCUUCCAGUCAGGAACUGACUGCCUGGAACCCCUUGCCUGAUUACUUACCUGGCAUUGCUCUCGAGUACUCAUCUUCAACAUCUUAUGCUUCUAGAGAAGAUACCACAUCUGUCUGAGGAACAGAUAGGGCAAGUGAGAAGGAUACAAGGAAGCAUGUGGAGACAAGCGUAACAGAACACGUGCUGAUACAUCCAUUACUUUGUCAACAGCAAAAGUAUCUCAUAUCAUCAGGGUCGAACGUACUCUAGAUUUGAUGGACUUGUUUUGACCCUCAAAUUCUUAAGUCAGCCUUAUACUCUGGAGGAAACUAGAAAACCUUCCAGCCCAGUUCAAGAAUAAGCAUGUGGAAAGUUACUUCUUCAAAAGAAAAAGUAUCUCAUAUUAUCUCUUCUCCAUUUGCUUCUCCUUAUCCUUGUUACUGUUUACGACACAAGGAGAAGGAGAAUAAUCAACCGGAAGCCGAAGUCGAAUCUCCGAUCCAGGUUGCUUGCUUGGAAGUCUGAUUGCUUACCUUGUCUGUUACCUCUUUCGACAAAUCUCCUAGCUCGGCGACUUGGGGGACUCCUACUAUAGGGUUUGUAUCGCACUUGACCAAGCCCGAAACUACAAGUAAGCUUCAAGUGAAAUUGAUACAUUACCUUGUGCAUCUUCAUUGGUUAAAGAUACCACCCCUGGAGGGAGGAAAAGUACUUCCAGAGAAGAUGCCACAUCUACAUAUGAGACAGAUAAGGCAAGUGAAAAUGAUAUCACACUUCAGUACUUAGAAGUUUCGUGAUUACUCAAUGGCUUGGAUCUUGCAAGUCCCCAACUGAGGAGCUUCCCUCACUCGGGAACUUAGGGGAGCACUGUUUGUACCAUACUUGACCAAUCCUGAAACUACUGAGCACCGGUCAACGUUAUACCGUCAAGGACCCAGAAAAGUUUCCCUUCAACCAGGAGGUCAAUCACAGCGCAACACGUGUCGACAUCAGAAGCCAAUCAUAGCGCGACACAUGUCAACAUCAGAAGCCAAUCACAACACGACACGUGCCAAUGUCAGAAUGAAACUAGAAACUCUCUUCUAUAAAUAGAGAUCAUUCUCUCACAAUAUUUCCUAAUGUCAUUUGUACUAAAUCAUUCACUAGUACUCACUAAAGGAGAGCUUAAACCUAUGUACUUGUGUAAACCUUUUACAAUUAAUGAGAACUCCUCUACUCUGUGGACGUAGCCAAUCUGGGUGAACCACGUACAUCUUGUGUUUGCUUCCCUAUCUCUAUCCAUUUACAUACUUAUCCACACUAGUGACCGAAGCAAUCUAGCGAAGGUCACAAACUUGAUACUUUCUGUUGUACCAAAGUCCUCACUGAUUUUGUGCAUCAACAAAGAUGAUGAGGUGAUCAGGAUACUAUCAACAAGGAACAAGCCCCAUCUCAAGGAAGUCUAUAAACACUACGAGGAGAUUUCUGGCCACGACAUUGAUGAAGUAUGUAUAUAAGGUCCAAAGAGAAACGUUCAACUGCCUAGCUAAUUCUUCGAAUUUUUCUUGGCCUACUAACAAACGUAUGCAAGAGAAAUAAGUUGGGAGAAAGAGUUGGCUGUGCAACAUUAUCCAGAAAUUUUGUCAACCGAAAUACUUCCAGUAUUCAGAAUACUACUUGCAUCUAUUUUCUAAAGUCACAUUGUUUUGUUUAGGAUCUUGAUCAUGCUGUGAGGUUAAAGAGACGGUGCAAUGCCUGUGUACUCCUGAGAAAUAUUUCAGCAAGGUAAGCCAGAGUCACAAAUUUUGUAUCAAGUUACUCAUGCAAUAUUACAUAUGACCUCUUAGGCAACCUUGUGCAUGCAAUUAUUGAACUCUUGUGCUUAUCAGGUCUUGGAAGAUUCAUUGAGAACUGAUGUCCAUAAGCAUACCAAGAAGGGAUUGACUAGAGUAAUUGUUACCCGAGCUCACUCGGACAUGAUGGAGAUCAAGGAGGAAUUCGAGAACCAUCAUGGAGUCUCUUUAGUUGAGAAAAUUGAAGAGACGGCUAAUGGGAAUUAUAAGGAUUUCCUACUCACAUUGCUUGCAAGAGGAGGUUGACUAAAACGGCAGGACGGAAAGUUGGGGUUUGUCGGGAUUACUUGAAAGGGUCUCUGUGUUACCCUUGUCAAUUGUUUUCGAUUGUUUGGCUUUUUCAUGGCUCUUAUAGCUAUCUGUAUGUGUUUUGUGUUAUCAUUAAGAGAAACUGAAAUAAAUCAAUCAAUCAAUGAGGCAUUUUAGCGUUUCAAUAAACUCAUUUCGUGUUCAAAGAAGUAUCGAUGCACCUUCAAAGUAGCGUGCAGAGACUCAAGCUGGUGAGGCCACUCCCUCUUUGCUCAAGUUAAUGAAUGAAAUGGGAUGAGAUUAGCAAAGCCUAUUUUGAAAGUAAGCCCAAGUUUUCUCCAGUUGAAUAUGAGCUUAAGGAAAUAUUAGUAUAUUACUACUAGAGGCGUAAGAAACUUUUAGAUUACCUAUAAACAUUUAUUAACAUUUUCUAAUAGUUAAGGACAUAGUUCAAACAUUCUCUAAGCAAUUAAUGACACAAUCCACGUACAUAAGUUUGUAAUUCAUAUACCAAUAUUUGGGUUGUUUUUUAUUUUAAGCGAUCAUAUAACGAGUUAUUCUGUUGAUAGAUCCUGAGAUUUAUCUACAAGCUUUCUUAUGGUUUAAUGGGAGGAUUCCUUGGAUUUUGAUACUAUUGAUUUAGAUUUGUUCAAGUUUUUAGUCCUUACGUCCUGUUCUCCUAGUAGAAAUCACGAAGACACUUUUUGCCCGACUUUUGGCAAGAGAACAAGACGGACAUUAUUUAUAGAAGUCGCACGACUCACACCCAUAUAUUUUUGCUCAGCAUAUCCAUUUCUCCUCAUAGUUAAUCAUCAGGCAUAUUAGUUUUGCAAUUUAAUUACAUCCUUUUACUUUCCUCGCUUGCUGUUAAUCGAAAUCUGUUGCUAGAUUAUAAAUAUAACUUCCAUUUAAUCCAACCCUUGAUUAAAAAGCUGACAGACAACUUUUAUUAAUACUCCAUAACAUCCGAAACGAAAACAAAAGGUCUUGAUAAAAACCUUAAACUCCAACAAACAUAGAUAAAGGUAAGGUAGAUAGUCACACCACAAGGAAACACAAACACGGAAAAUAAAGACAGUCAUCAAACUCAAUAGAAAAACAGAAGCACUCAUAGCACUUGAUCAUACUAAUUUGCUCAGCGAAAAUUUUCAAUCUUCCUUCCCCAGCAGAGU
rnacentral:lncRNA from 1 species